rnacentral:rRNA from 1 species
CUUACCAGGUCUUGACAUCCCUCUGACCGGCUUAGAGAUAAGCCUUUCCUUCGGGACAGAGGUGACAGGUGGUGCAUGGUUGUCGUCAGCUCGUGUCGUGAGAUGUUGGGUUAAGUCCCGCAACGAGCGCAACCCUUGAACUUAGUUGCCAGCAGGUUAAGCUGGGCACUCUAAGUUGACUGCCGGUGACAAACCGGAGGAAGGCGGGGAUGACGUCAAAUCAUCAUGCCCCUUAUGACCUGGGCUACACACGUACUACAAUGGCCGGUACAACGGGAAGCGAAGGAGCGAUCCGGAGCCAAUCCUAGAAAAGCCGGUCUCAGUUCGGAUUGCAGGCUGCAACUCGCCUGCAUGAAGUCGGAAUUGCUA